rnacentral:rRNA from 1 species
AUUGAACGCUGGCGGCGUGCCUAAUACAUGCAAGUAGAACGCAGUUGCGAACGGGUGAGUAACGCGUAGGUAACUGCCUCAUAGCGGGGGAUAACUUUUGGAAACGAUAGCUUAUACCGCAUACUGUGAGAUGGACCUGCGUUGUAUUUGCUAGUUGGUGAGGUAAACGCUCACCAAGGCGACGAUACAUACCCGAGCUGAGAGGGUGGUCGGGCAAACAGGGAAUGGGGCACAGGCCAGGAUCCUGAGGGGGGGAACAGGAGGGAAACUUCGGCAAAGGGCGGAAAGCUUAACGAGGAACGGCGCGGGGGUGGAGGAGGGUUUCGGGUCGUAAAGCUCUGGUGUUAGAGAAGCGGUAACUAACCAGAAAGGGACGGCUAACUACGUGCCAGCAGCCGCGGUAAUAC